AGAGCGAACGCUGGCGGCAGGCCUAACACAUGCAAGUCGAACGGACCCUUCGGGGUUAGUGGCGGACGGGUGAGUAACACGUGGGAACGUGCCUUUUGGUUCGGAAUAGCUCCUGGAAACGGGUGGUAAUGCCGAAUGUGCCCUUCGGGGGGAAAGAUUUAUCGCCAUUAGAGCGGCCCGCGUCUGAUUAGCUAGUUGGUGAGGUAAUGGCUCACCAAGGCGACGAUCAGUAGCUGGUCUGAGAGGAUGACCAGCCACAUUGGGACUGAGACACGGCCCAAACUCCUACGGGAGGCAGCAGUGGGAAUCUUGCGCAAUGGGCGAAAGCCUGACGCAGCCAUGCCGCGUGAAUGAUGAAGGUCUUAGGAUUAGUAAAAUUCUUUACACCGGGACGAUAAUAGACGGUACCGGAGAAGAACGACCCCGGCUAACUUCGUGCCAGCAGCCGC
rnacentral:rRNA from 1 species